rnacentral:rRNA from 1 species
AGAGUUUGAUCCUGGCUCAGGAUAAACGCUGGCGGCGCACAUAAGACAUGCAAGUCGAACGGAAGUCGUUAUAAAAAGGAUUGAAGAUUUAUCUGAUUGAGAUUUUAUAACAAUGGCUUUAGUGGCGGACUGGUGAGUAACGCGUGAGCAACCUGCCUACUAGAGGGGAAUAACAGUGAGAAAUCAUUGCUAAUACCGCAUAUGCCAUGAACAUCACAUGAUGAAAAUGGGAAAAGAGUAAUCUGCUAGUAGAUGGGCUCGCGUCUGAUUAGAUAGUUGGUGGGGUAACGGCCUACCAAGUCGACGAUCAGUAGCCGGACUGAGAGGUUGAACGGCCACAUUGGGACUGAGAUACGGCCCAGACUCCUACGGGAGGCAGCAGUCGGGAAUAUUGCGCAAUGGAGGAAACUCUGACGCAGUGACGCCGCGUAUAGGAAGAAGGUUUUCGGAUUGUAAACUAUUGUCGUUAGGGAAGAUACAGACAGUACCUAAGGAGGAAGCUCCGGCUAACUACGUGCCAGCAGCCGCGGUAAUACGUAGGGAGCAGCGUUUUCCGG